CAGGGCUUUGUAUGUCUAGAUGAGCAAAUUAUAUCUUAUUUAAGUGGGUAAUUAUAUCUUAUCAAUUGGACAAAAAAAGAAAGUAAAAGCAGGGAGUUUCUGAAAUGUACGAGUGGGCGGGGCAAACAUGCAGCUCAAGACUCCCCUGUUUCCCAGUCCAGGGGCAUUUCACAAAGGUCAGGGGAUGGGAGGGGUCCUCUGUACCGUCAGACCUUUCUUUCUGAUGUAGGCGAUGGAUAGGUCAUGAUACUGUCGCUGCACUGGCACCAUCUCCAGAUCGUCUGUUACAGGAAUGAGAUGUAGUCUGUGUAACCCUUAAGUGGUUUGUGAUGUACCAGAGGUUACCUUGGGAUAGCCUUUUCAUCCAUGUAUCUUCUUCACUUGCCUGUCUCUAGGGAACCCCCUUAGUGGGUUUUACUUUUCAAUUGUGGCCAUUUGGUUACUUGUUAACUAUUUUGGUUGGAGGAGGUUUAUACAAGGGCCUAAAUCAGUUGCAGGACACCAGCGUUAGCCUUCCUGUGGUGGGAAGUUAUGUGCACCUGACUUUACCUGUCUGUCUCUGUCUCCUCUCAGUCUGAGGAAGGGUGUUUCUCUGGCUCUGAUGGAAUGGUAGUGGAGGGAAGGAGAGGGAGUCCUGGCACCAGGGAGGCAGAGAGAGCUAAACUGUUUCUUUCCAUUGGCACCCUGAUGACCAUCAGCCCCACAGAGGCACAUGACAGAAGGACACAAGGAAGAGUGGUUGGGUGUGUGUUUAUGUGUGUGUGUGUGUGUGUGUGUGUGUAUGUGUGUGUUUAUGUGUGUGUAUAUGUGUGUGUUUAUGUGUAUAUGUUUAUGUGUGUGUGUUUAUGUGUGUGUGUGUUUAUGUGUGUGUGUGCACGCAUGUGCAUUUCAUGCUUCCCACUUAUCCACCUGUGGGAGGGAGCCUGGGAGGGGACAAUAGAGGGAGGAUUGGAGACCCUUUUCUUCUCUCAAGGAAAUGAGCAGGAAGCAAGGGGAUUACAGGGUUGAGGCAUGGCAGAGACAUAAAAGUCUGGAUAUCAAACCCCUCCCAAAGUUUAAGCCAACGGGGUGCUUUUAACAAUUUUGGGGUAUGGCAUUUUUGGCUUCAGUUACCAGAAAAGAGAGGCAGAAAUAACACAUAAGACAAGCAAAAAUGAGAUGAGGCAUAUCUGGGCUGUAGAAUGUGGCCACUUGUCUUUUUCCUUGAGGGUGUCUCCUUUUAUUUCCCAUAUGGGCCACCCCAUGCCGUUUAAAAUGCCAUAGGGAAGGCUGUUGAGGCAGGAAGUUGAACUAAUUUACCCAGAACAUGAAAAAAAACAAAGAAAAUGUACUGAAAUACACUCAGGGGGCGGGGCCAGUCUCCAGAGAGGCUGCUCAGCUGAGACAGGUGGCUUCUGUUAAAGUAGUUGGAAGGAGAGUGGUUGGGUUUUACCUUGUGUGCCUUGAACAUGGGGUUUACAUCUGGGUAGAGACUGAAAUAUAGCUUGGCCAUUUGUUUCAGUGUCACAUGUCUGUGUCAGACAUCAGAAGUCACUAAAAACCAGACUCAUGUAGCUAUCUAUGUUAAAGUAUUGGGAAAUUGAUUUAUUUUUGACCUUGGGCUCUACAAUUUUGAUUUGAUGUUUUGAAAUAUGUGUCAAAGGUCCUAAAAAUGCAUUCUGUGAAUGGAGUGACUAUUCUAGAAGCUUCUGUGGGCUGGCCAGCUUAGGGAAAGAGGAGCCUCCCUUCCUGUCAUCCUUCUUGUCCUGGAAGAGUUUAUGAGAACAGUUUCCAACCUGCCUCAGGGCUGCGUUUAUUUCCUCACAGAAGAGCAGGCUCAUAGCCUGGGGGCAGCUAAGCCCCCUCCCCCCAGCAAUGACCUCACAUUCCACAUCUCACAUCUUUCUUACAUCACAGAGGCCAGGGCUCAGGAGAGAGGUGACUUUCUCAGGCCCUCAUGCUCAGUGACCACCUAGAGCUGCUGGGCUCAUCUGAGAAGGAGAACGUAUACUUUGGUGAAAUUCUCUGGAAAGGCUCAUGAACCCUUGGCCAGGGCCAUGGCAGUGUCUUUUUGUUUUUUUGUUUUUUGGAGACAAAGUUUUUCUGUGUAUCCCUGGCUGCCCUGGAAUUCUCUCUGUAGACCAGUCUGGCCUCGAACUCAUAGAUCCACCUGCCUCGGCCUUCUGAGUGCUGGGAUUAAAGCAUGGGCCACCACUGCCCAGAUCAUGCCAUGUCUUUUGACCCAUUCCCUAUUUCUUGGGGCUGGAAAUCAUGUAAACAAGUCUGGUUCUCCGAAGUCACCGCUCCGUUCCUUCACACAGAAGUGUAUUGAGUUUGAGUUUGUGGUACCUGAUUUGGUAACUCAGGACGAUGUUUUUCCUGCAUGAGCCUUAGGUGGCCAUCACUGAUCGCCUCCCCAGAACUAUCUGAAUCAAAAGCUAUGGUUAAGCUUCAGCCAUAUUUUCACUCUUGCUAUGUGGUUCUGCCCUCUAACGAGCCAUGGUCUUCUCUCCUGCUGGAGCAGCAAAUAAAGGUAGUAGAAGUGUGGGAAGCGGUAAUGACUGAAUGUCGUCCUUGUUUGUAUCUUUUCCCAGGGCUAUGGGACAGACUGCCAUUUCUUGUUUGGCGUUAUCAUUCAGACCUGACUAUCCUGGUUGGCGUCACUAAGCUUGAAAGGCUGCAGUUAGGACCCUUUCAAGAUGUACUUGGGGGUGUUGCUUGACUUACAGAUGGGAAAUGAUCUUUGUUAGUGUCAUUCUCUUAAAAUGAGAAUGGUGUGGUGCAGGGCUCUGAACGUCUGUCACCCAUUUUGUAGGAAGGCCUCUUACGAAUGGCCAGAAGUAAAGUGUGAUUGAAAUUUGGAUGUGGACAAUGUAGCUUUUCAGAUUCUGUUAAAUGCCAGUUUCUCCAUACUUGACACUUCAGUUCCGACCCUUGGAUUCGGAAUUUUCUCUGACAAUCUCAAGAUAGCUCUGUGUGGGACUGUGGAUUCAUGAAUUGUAGAAGAGGGAUUGGAGGACCUUGAGCUAGGUGGCCGAAUUCUUUUUGUUAUACAAGGUCUGGUUAAGCCUCCAAAUAAUUAGCACGGUUGCCACUAUUUGAAUAUGUUCCUCAAGGUUCAGAUGUUGGAAAAUUUGGUGGCAUUUGAAGUUGAGGCCCUUGGGAGGUAGCUUAGUUUCUUUUCUAGUUUGGUAAUAGAACACCAGGACCAGUCAGGAUUUGGUGGUAUGUUCCUUUAAUCCUAACACUCACAGGUAGAAGCAGGCUGACCUCCGAGAUCUAGGCCAGCCUGGUUUAUAGAGCAAGUUUCAGGACAGCCAGAAUUUCACAGAGAAAUCCUGCCAAAACAGCAAAAACGAAAACAAAAAACAACAAAAAAAAUUAGAACACCCCCGCAAACAAAACCAAUUAAUAAACCAACAAGCCAAUCAAUUAACCAAACUGCCAACCAACCAACCAGUCAACCAGCCAGCCGGUCAGCCAGCCAGCCAACCAACUAAACAAACAAAAACCCCACUACUACCAAAAGCAGCUUGGGAAAGCAAGAGUUUAAUUUCUCUUAUUACUUAUAGUUCAUCAUGUGACAGAUUGGCAGGAACUUAAGGCAGGAACCAGGGGCAGGAACUCUGGAUGCAAAGGCCAUGGAGGAAUGCUGGUUCCUGGCUUGCUUAGCCUGCUUUCUAAUACCAUCCAGGACCACUAUUAUCACUCAGGGGUGGCACCACCCCUAUGGGAUAGGCCCAUCGACAUCAAUCAUCAAUUGAGAAAAUGUACCACAGGCUUUUCUACAGGUCAGUCUGGUAAGAACAUGUUCUCAACUAAGAGUCCGUUUUCCAGAAUAACUCUCCCCUGUGUCAAGUUGCCAUAAAAACUGGCUGGCAGAUGAGGUAAAUGAGAUUAAAUGAGGUCAUGAGGGUGGGACUUCAUGAUGACUCCAGUGACUGCAUAAGAGGAAGAGAGAUCUCAGUGAGCAUGCUUGAAGCAGGUGAUGUUAUGGUGCAGCGAGAAGCCAAUCACCAGGUGUUAGUUCCAUGCCUUUUAAACAUCCCACCCUCCAGAAGCCACAAGGCAAAUCCAUCUCUAGACUUUGUAAAUUACUUGUUCUUAUUAUAGCAGCAGGAAAUAAUAGAGACCACAGUUUUCUCGGAGAAUCCUUUGGUAAAGAGGUUAUUUAAGAUAUAGUUGUUUAACUUUUUUUUAGAAUUAUUUAUUUUAUGUAUAGGGAUACACUGUAGUUGUCUUCAGACACACCAGAAGAGGUCAUCAGACCCCACUACAGAUGGUUGCGAGCCACCCUGUGGUUGCUGGGAAUUGAACUCACACACUCUGGAAGAGCAGUGCUCUUAACCACUGAGCCAUCUCUCCAGCCCCAGUUGUUUAACGUUUUUGAAAGAAUUUUUAAAAUGAUUAUAGGCUUACCAAAGGUUUGCAAAGCAACACAAAAAUUUAUGCCUUUUGCUUCUUCUAAUAGUACACACUUACAGAAUUGUAACAUAAAGGACAUUGUUACAACAUGCCAGACUAAUAUUUAAGCAUAAGUUUCUGGCUAUUUAAAUUUAAUUAGUUUUUUAAUGUGGUUGAUUUUAUGUUCCAAGAUUCAACUCAGAGCCUCACACUUCAUACAGUUCUCGUGUCUCCUUAAUUUCUUCCAAUUUGCAUUUAUGAAAUUUAAUGGCGAUGGUAGUAAUAAUGUUGAAGUAUACGGUCACUCUAUAAGGGCAUACAAUGACCUGCUUCCUUUCUCUUCUUUUUGUCCUCAUGUUUCCUUACCAAACAAGACUUAGAUUAACUUUAUUUUCAUUUGUUUUUACUGAAGUAAGAAACAGGCAAUGAUUUUUAUUUCUGAAAUAGGCAGAAAGCAACGACAGUCAUUUCAAAGGUUUUAUGGCAGCCUCAUCUGUGUUUCAGAAUAGUUGGUGCCUUUCUUGGGAUGUAGAGAUCACAGCCAUAAUAGUCACACAGCUGAUUUUAUGGUUAAUACAUAAUCUGAAAUUUAACCCAGGGCGGCUUUUGGAAGUAGCUGGGGGAGGUUGGGGGCGAGUGGCGUUAUGCUCUUUGUCUCCUGUUGUGCGGCUUCAGCUGCUCCUGCUUCCACUCUUCAGAGGUAUUUCUACCCAGGUAGAACAUUUUUGGGUUUCCCUUCACAAGCUUGCCACUUCCUGGGGCUCCCAAGAGAGCCAACUUCUGACACUCUGUGUAGGCGAUCUCUGAAUUGAGGUGCAGGUCGCUCUUGGUGCCCAUAGUUGACCUCGCUGUUCUGUAUUUGGGCUUCUGUGUGCGCUCAGGUCCGAGUCUGUAUGUGGUACACGGUAAUUUCCAGACUUCUUAGAGAUUUGCUUGCUUCACCUAGGGGCUUCCCUAACAAGUGUUCAGGAGGCGGAAAUUUUUCCCAAGCCCAGAAGCCUUUUUGCCCUUACAGCAGCAGGGGGCGCUGUGGGCACACACAAGACCAACUCUACCGCGGCCGUGGUCAUGAGGCAAGAGUGUGAUCCCAGGCCCUUGAGUUUGGAUUUUUAACUCCAACCUGGAGCAAAGAUUAUAAAAGAAGAAAGAUGGAACUUUCUUUGUCCCUUUUCUUUGGCUAUCUGUUACCUUCGUAGGACAACCCGGCUGAGAGGAGGAAGAAUUCACUGGAAGGUGGCUCUUUCCCACUUGAAGAGGGGAGCACAGUCUCUACGAGGCAGCAGCAUCCAGACACGUGCUUCCCACUAAGGGCCGGAGAAACCACAGCAGGAGGAUGGUAGGCGCUGGCUUGCAGUUAGGUGGGAGUGAAGUUGAGUCUCGUCAGUGCUUCUGAUUUUCCUCGCCAUGUUUUCAGAGUUAGCAGCAUCUAGUGCUUGACCAUAUUGGUGCAUGAGCUUGCCCUCUCCUACGCUGCUGCACGUUGCUACUCAUAUCACUCUUCCUCACACGUAUAUGGCUAAAGCAUGGUUAUAGGUUUCUCAGUAGCAGGGAACACCGCCCGUUUGCAGAACACCUCUUGUACCAGCACAGCUCACAUAACUGAGGAUACAUAGACUUAUUUUCCCCUUCCUUCCUCCACUUGCCCUUUUGGAUCCCCUCACCCUGAUAUUAGCACAGUGUUCUCAAGAUCCCUAAUGCUGCCACCCUUUAACACAGUUUAUCAUGCUGUUAUGACCCCCACCCAUAUGAAUUGUAAUGAAAAUAUUUUUUGGGGACAGAGGUUUGCCAAAGGGGUUGCAACCCACGGGUUGAGAACUGCUGUACUAGUAAGCUAUGGAAUGAAGACGUUUUUGUCAUUUAUUUGGUGAGUUUUGUGACUCCUGUGAAUUUAUUUAUUUUUCUUCUGUAUUUUCUGGACCCGGGGCCAGAGUUCCAAUCGAAGCAUCACAAAACUCCAAGGGAUGCGACUCAAAUUUGGUGGGUGCUGAGCCGAAUAACAUUAUAAUAAUGUUCCAGCAGGUGGCAGCAAAGAGCCAGGAAAUUGAGUUGCCUUGUAAUCACCGGGCUGCAUCACUGAGUCCUGGGUGGCCUGCCCUCGGCACUAUGGAUUUACAAUAGUCAUUACUGCCGUACAUCCAGCCUCACAUUUCUUUGUGCCUAUUAGGUUGUCCCCAGAGAGCAAGGGCUCAGGGUGCAGGAGUCUCCCUUCCAGCCCAGUUAAUUGGGGCCCAGGAUUCGGGCCAGGGGUCCUUGAACUACUGCCAGAAAACCAGAUCCAGCUUAUGCUGGGCAGCAAGAUCAGAAAUGAUUUUUAGGUUAAAAAAAUUAAUUUAAAAACAUCUAUUUAGUUUAAAUUUAUGCCUGUGUGUUUUCCCAGAGGUCGAAAGAGGGCAUCUGAUUCCCUGGAACUGAACUUACAGGCGGUUGCGAGCAGAUUGACGUGGGUGCGGGAAGCCACCUCGAGCCUUCUGCAAAAGCAGUAACUGCUGUUAAUUGCCUUGUCCCUCAGCUUUCAUGUGAUUGAAAAUAGUCAGUCACAUUUUGUGACAGCUGAAAAUGAGACAAAAAUCAAGUUUCCGUGUUUAUAAAUAAAGUUUUAUUUCACCACAUUUGUGCUCACUUAUUUUCCAGUUACCUUUGCUGCAUCUAACCUACAAUGGCAAGGCUGAGAAAUCCUGUCGGACGUUGUAUGAGUGAAAAGCAUAAAGCUCUCUCUCCUGCUCUUUACAGAAAUAUGGUGCAAAUCUCCGGAUCAGUUGCCGAGGACUUCUGUGGACUCCCAACGGUUAAGCUGGUUUUGGAGAGAACUAAGGGUUGCUGGUGCUGUGGGGCCCUGAGAAACCUGGGAGAUGUCAGUGAUGGAUCCUCUCUCAGUUCUAUCUAGAGAGCAUCGCUAGGGAUGCUGGGUUCUGUCAGGCAGGGGUCUGGCUCCAGGAAUUGUGGCUGUUUCCAAGGAUGUGUUCUUGCUCAAAUUCCCCAAGGGUCUUGGUUCAUGUACUAACUUUGACCCUGGAAUUAAAAGAAUGCUUUCGACCUCUCAAA